GAGUCUCGCGAGAAACGCGAUUGCGGCUCAACCUGGGAAAGAGGUUGAGGCGCGGAAGGGCCGAUGUUCGUCCGUGGGCUGUGCCGGGUUUCUGCCUGGCCCUCGCGCGGAGGGCUAGGUUUCCUUUGUGCGUCACCCUUUACCAGAGAAGCGGGCACUUCCUGUUAGUCUAGACCCGCUUUAAUUAGCAGUAGUAAAAGUCAGUUUGCAAGCAUUGGAAGAAGACUUUUGUAAAGGAACUUUACACAACAUGGAUUCUCUUCCAGAAGAAUUUUUUGUGAGGGAUCCUGCUGUGGAGGAGCAGAUUGAAGAGGAAACUGAGAAUAAAGCAGAAAAAUCAACCAUUCAACUGGACAAACAGAAGAAGGACAUACCUACUGAUCUUGUCCCUGUUAACCUACUAUUAGAGGUGAAGAAAUUAUUAAAUGCAAUCAAUACUCUACCAAAAGGAGUGGUUCCUCACAUUAAAAAGUUCUUACAAGAAGAUUUUUCCUUCCAGACUAUGCAGAGAGAAGUUGCAGCCAGUAGCCAAAAUGAGGAAGAAAUCGUUCCUGCUUUAACUUUACGUUUUUUGAUAACACAACUGGAAACAGCUCUUAGAAACAUUCAAGCUACUAAUUAUACUGCACACCAAAUUGAUAUUGGUUAUUAUUUGACAUUACUGUUUUUGUAUGGAGUAGCACUCACAGAAAGAGGGAAGAAAGAAGAUUAUACAGAAGCAGAGAAUAAAUUUCUGGUGAUGAAGAUGGUGAUCCAAGAAAAUGAAAUUUGUGAAAACUUUAUGUCUUUAGUCUAUUUUGGACGUGGCUUACUUCGAUGUGCUCAAAAGAAAUAUAAUGGAGGGCUGCUAGAAUUUCAUAAAAGUUUACAAGAAAUAGGAGAUAUAAAUGAUCAUUGGUUUGACAUAGAUCCUACAGAAGAUGAAGACUUACCAACAACUUUUAAAGAUCUCCUCAAUAAUUUUAUCAAGACAACUGAAAGUAAUAUAAUGAAACAGACCAUUUGUAGUUACCUAGAUUGUGAGCGAUCUUGUGAAGCGGAUAUUUUAAAGAACACAAAUUAUAAGGGUUUUUUUCAGUUAAUGUGCAGUAAAAGUUGCUGUGUUUAUUUCCACAAAAUUUGUUGGAAAAAAUUCAAGAAUUUAAAAUAUCCAGGUGAAAAUGAUCAGAGUUUUAGUGGCAAAAAGUGUUUGAAGGAAGAAUGCACAGGUGACAUGGUAAGGAUGCUACAAUGCGAUAUACCUGGAAUUGUUAAAAUUUUGUUUGAAGUUGUGAGAAAGGAUGAAUAUGUAGCCAUUGAAAAUUUAGGAGCAAGUUAUAAGAAGUUGAUGUCUCUGAAAACAGCUGAUACUGAUAUAAGACCGAAGAUCAGUUUAAAAUUUAAUACAAAAGAUGAAAUGCCUAUCUUCAAACUUGAUUAUAAUUAUUUCUAUCAUCUGCUUCAUAUAAUUAUUAUUUCUGGUACUGAUAUUGUCCGGCAAAUAUUUGAUGAGGCUAUGCCACCCCCUCUUUUGAAAAAAGAACUACUCAUCCACAAGAAUGUACUGGAAUCCUACUACAACCACCUUUGGACCGAUCACCCUUUGGGUGGAUCAUGGCAUCUGCUUUAUCCCCCAAACAAGGAAUUACCACAGUCCAAACAGUUUGACUUAUGCCUCCUAUUAGCUCUCAUAAAACAUUUGAAUGUAUUCCCUGCACCCAAAAAAGGCUGGAAUAUGGAACCACCAUCUUCUGACCUCUCUAAGUCUGCAGACAUUCUGAGACUGUGCAAAUACAGGGAUAUCCUCCUUAGUGAGAUUUUGAUGAAUGGUCUCACAGAGUUACAAUUCAAUUCAAUUUGGAAAAAAGUUUCAGAUAUUCUUCUGCGUCUUGGGAUGAAGCAAGAAGAUAUUGACAAAGUGAAGGAGAAUCCCAUUGAGAAUAUUUCCCUUGAUUACCAUCAGCUAUCCAUCUACCUAGGCAUACCAGUACCAGAAAUCAUCCAAAGAAUGCUAUCCUGCUAUCAACAAGGAAUUGCUCUACAGUCAAUAACAGGCAGUCAACGUAUUGAACUAGAAGAGUUACAGAAUGAGGAAGAAGACCUAAGUCCACCACUUAUGGAAUACAAUAUAAAUGUGAAAUCAAACUCUGAAAUACAGUUAGCAGAAAUGAAUAAAGAUGGAGCCUCUAUACCCAGUGAAUCUUCAACAGAAUCUAUUAAAGAUCUCCAAGAAGCAAAAAGUAAGCCGAAGAAAAAGAAAAAAAUGAAGACUAAAAAGAGUAAGGACUCAAAAGAAGAAAAAGUUUCCUAUAUCAGAGAAAAGGAAGAGCAGUUGAAGAAAGAACAAACAAAUCCACACACAGUGGGUAGAUUUAUGAAGGAUGAUGCAAGUGAUAUUCAGGAAGAUUCUGCAACUGAAGACAAGUUCUACAGCCUUGAUGAACUGCAUAUUCUGGACAUGAUAGAACAGGGCUCAGCCGGUAAGGUAGCAGCAGACUAUCAAGAAACUGAAAAGGAAAGGCUUGCUCAUCAACAGCAGCUUUAUAAACUUCACUAUCAGUGUGAGAAUUUCAAAAAGCAGUUGAAAACUGCGACAUUUCGGUGGCAAGAAAAUCAAAUGCAAAUUAAAAAGAAAGAAAAAGUAAUAGCAUCUCUUAACCAGCAAGUGGCUUUUGGAAUCAAUAAAGUUUCCAAAUUACAGCGUCAAGUCCAUGCUAAAGAUAAUGAAAUUAAGAACCUUAAAGAACAGCUUUCCAUGAAAAGAUCUCAGUGGGAAAUGGAGAAGCAUAAUCUGGAAAGCACAGUUAAAACCUACUUGAACAAACUGAAUGCAGAAACCAGCAGAGCUAUAACAGCUGAGGUGUAUUUCUUACAGUGUCGUAGAGAUUUUGGAUUGCUUCAUCUAGAACAAACUGAAAAAGAAUGUCUCAGUCAGCUUGCUAGGGUGACUCACAUGGCAGCAAGCAACCUGGAGUCACUUCAGUUAAAGGCUGCAGUAGAUAGUUGGAAUGCUAUUGUGGCAGAUGUUAGAAACAAGAUUGCAUUCCUCAGGACACAGUACAAUGAACAAAUCAACAAGGUGAAGCAAGGAUUUCCCUUGAGUAGCUUGCCUCCAGUCCAGCUUCCUCCACCACCGCCCAGUCCUGAGAUAUUGAUGCAGCAGUAUUUGGGAAGACCAAUUGUGAAAGACUCAUUCUUUAGACCCAUACUUACUGUUCCUCAAAUGCCUGCAAUUUGCCCUGCAGUCAUCUCUACAACAGGCCAACCUAGACCUCCCCUGAUGACUGGCAUAGCCUGGACUUUGCCAACACCUGUGGGAGAGACCGUGCCUCUUAGUACAGGUCUGGGAACUGAUCUUUCCAUGAUGAAUUGGGAGAGGAUUACAGACAAGCUAAAAACUGCUUUUCCACAACAGACCAGAAAGGAGCUCACAGAUUUCUUACGAAAAUUGAAGGAAGCUCAUGGGAAGUCUUUAUCUGGACUGACAUGUGAUGAAAUUAUUUACAAGAUUUCGCAAUUUAUUGAGCCCAAGAAAUCUCAGAGUCAAGAAAAAUCAGUGCCAAAUGAUAAUUGUGUUUCACCUAGCCAUUCUUCAUCACAGCCCAGUGCUCCUGAGUCCCCCAAAUCAACCUGGAGGCCUCUCAGUUCUCAAGGUUCUGCCACGUGGGAAGGAGCCAAUAUCGUGGAUGAAGAGGAAGAAGAAGAGCCUUGUGUGAUCUGUCAUGAGAAUUUGUCUCCAGAAAACCUCUCAGUUUUGCCUUGUGCUCACAAAUUCCACUCACAGAUGACAGUUUGAGUUUAUGUGUCAUCCAGGUGUUUUAAAUUCAGAGCACCGUAAACGUUUUCUGCAAGUGCAUUAGGCCAUGGUUGAUGCAACAAGGGACAUGCCCAACCUGUAGACUCCAUGUUUUGCUACCAGAAGAACUCCCUGAUCACACCAGCCAACAGUUGCCCAAGGACUGACUCAAAGUGAACAGCUCUGCGAAGCAAGUGUAGUUGUCAGAUCCCAGCAUGUAUUUUUGCCUCUUCUUAUGAGCUGGUUGUGUGAGGAGUGUAAAGCAGUAUGCUCUUCAGUAUUGUGGUAAAGAAGCUAAUUGUAUCAAGUGGCAGCCAAAUAGGUCAAGACAGAAGACAGGUCUAAGGGACUUGUAUGAGUUAAACUGAAGGGGCUUAAGAAGAUACAAUUUUAAUAAUUACAGUGUAUUUGCUCUUAGUGAGCUUUUUUCCUCUGUAGAUUUCUUUUUUUUCCCCUGUUUUUCUUCCUUAUUCUACUCACCUUUUCAUUUCUCUCGGUAUAGUGCAUUUUAAUUUUUUGAAAUAAAUUUAGGAGAAAAUCUGAAAGUGUAGAGAAGUAGAAAAAAUCCACAUAUUUUAAUGUUCCUUUCAACUUUUAAAAUUAGUCAUUAAAAUAUAGUUGAAUUACUUAAAUUGUAUUUCAUCUUCUGUAUUUUCUGUCCUCUAAAAUACAUGCUCAUACAUAAAUUAAUGAAUUACUUGAUGAUGGAGACCACUUAGCAGUGUGUCAGAGCUGGCUUGUAAUAACGGCUCAGGAAGAAUGAUUGGUUAAGGAAGUUUGCAAGCCACUUAUCAAAUUAUUGGUGACUUGAAAUCUGGUAUAGGCGAAGUAUUUAUACCAUAUAAAUUAGGAAAAGGAAUAAGACUUGUCUUUCCCUCAAAAGUUGGUUCUUAAAUGUCUUUUAUCAUAGUACAAGACAUUUAUGUUCCCAACAUCUUACAUAGUAGGUGCAGAAUACACACUCCCAGAAUCAGAAGUCAGGAGGUAAUAGAAAUGAGAGACGCUCUAUAUACAAGUUAUUUGCUGAGGUAAAUAGUUAAAAUUGUAUGUUUAUUUAUAAACAUGUUCUUUGAGCCUUAAUCAAUUUGCAUUUUGAAGAGAUUUUUUUUCUGCUUUAAAAGUUUCUAAUUUUACUUUCAUUUUCUUGCAAAGGAAAAAUUGUAUGUAGUUUCUUCUUGUGACAAAGUUUAUACACAUUACAAUUGUGUAUGUAAGCUUGUCACUGAGAACUUUAAUUUUUAGAGGUCAAAAAUUAUUUUGGAAAUGGUAUUGUGUAAGUGCUCUAAGGGUUGUAUUAAAGUAAUUCAGUUACCUAGUGAAAUAAUUUUUUUCUGACACAGAAAAUGUUUUAUUACGUAUUUCAGGGUAAUUGUAUUUUGAAGUUACUUUAAGUCUCUAUUUUAAAACUUUUAUUUCUGUAGUUAUUUACUAAAGAUUUUUUUUCUAAAAUGAUAAUAAGCUGGAUAAUAUGACAGAAAAUAUCCAAAAAAUGUUAAUCACCUAGUAUGUAAAAUGCCAAGAAUAUAUCUAAAUUCCAGACCUAAUAACUUACAGGGUCUUCAGUAUGGUUACUGUGUCUGGCACAUGAAGGUCGUGAUCAUGUAGGAGGUUACUUUGUAAAACUUAGUUCUUGUUUACAACUCAUUUCUUAGUUCAUCUUUUUAACAUGAGAAUUUCAUUCUCAUGUGGAAAGAAUAAAUAUCUCUUAAUUUAGUGAAUAUUUUAUCUGUGUAUUUCAUCUUAGAUAAACCAGAAACUACUUUAAAUCUGUACUUCAAAUGUGUAUUUCUGUUUAAUUGUGCUUAAAUUUUUUUCUUCUGUUCUGAGAAAAGAAAGAGCAAUUUGAAAGAGUACCAAGACGAAGUGAGUCAUGUAGCCAUAUUAAAUACUAAGGAUGUCUUGGAAUCAUAGAAUGCCAAAGCUCGUCUGACCCCUUCAUGAUCUUCUAAUGUGUCCUCUCAUUUUACAAAUAUGUCGUGGCCUAAGUCAUGUGGCUAGUUGGUGGCUAUACCAAGUCAUAUGUGUCUUUGCAAGUUUCUGUAAAGUGCUGAUCUGCCAGGCUUAGCUCCAAGGAAGAGGCUAGACUUAACACAAUAGUUAGUGGUUAGUGAGAACAUAAUAGGACAGUAUUCUUAUCUAGUUCUGCAGGAGCAGAAGAUAACGGGAUUCCAAUUAAGCAUAUGGUAAACCCGGUGUUUGUUUUGUAUUAAGUAGGUGGUAAUGAGUAUAUACAAAUGCAUAAUAAUGGUAGGACACAAGGAAGAAGUUUGAUUGACUUUUCCUUUCUAUGAUUUGCUUGAAAUGAUUCAAAUUAGUGUCUGUUGUCUUGAUGUAAUUAUGCAAAGUACCUUUCACUCUAGAGUAUCCCUGUUUGGAUGAUGCAUUUUAUCUUCUGGUUAGUUCAGGAAAAGUGCUGUUUUUCUUUUCUUUUCUUUCUUUCUUUCUUUCUUUCUUUCUUUCUUUCUUUCUUUCUUUCUUCUUCUUCUUCUUCUUCUUCUUCUUCUUCUUCUUCUUCUUCUUCUUCUUCCUCUUCCUCUUCCUCUUCUUUCUUCUUUCUUCUUUCUUCUUUUUUUUUAACCAGAUUGAAAUUUAACAAUGCUCUUAAACACAAUAACUAUAUGCCUCUCAGAUAAAAUGGUUUUUAGCAAGAUUAAAAGUGACAAAUACUAAUUAGUCAUGAAGAUACGUGUUUUCUGAUUGUCUUGAGUAGGAAACUUUCAGUACCUGGAGGUGUAGAUUAGAAGUUGUUUCUCAGUAGAGCUCACAGGCUUCUUUCUUAAGUAUAAGAUCCUGGACCACUUUCAUGGUUACAUGAUGCGUUUAUAAAAAUGUGUGUUCCAGGAGGCCUUAUGGAAAGUUGCCUUUGGAGCCAGUGCCAUAGGUAUUCCGAUGAACAUUAAAUUUUAGAAACCACUAGUUAAAAUGGCUUUCUCAGAUAGAUCUAGUUUUGAAUUUUUGAAUUCCAUAUCUAGCAUAUUGUGUGAUCAUAAACAAAUUAGUUUCACUUUUCUUGGCCUGUCCCCUUUCUGGAAAGUAGAGAAAAAAUGGUUUGCCUGAUGGUUACUGGAAUAAACAUUUAUUAUUCUUUCCCAGAGUAGCAAAUGAGGGUAAGUCAGCAUCGAUACAGCACACUUCUUUCCCAAAGCACAGUGAUAGAGCACUUGCCACCAGUAUAAGGUUUGGGUUCAAACCCCAGCCCUCAGUCUUCCCCUCUCCCCUUCAAAAAAUAAAAAUAAAUUUCAAACUUCUCAUUCAUCA